AUGUAUUUUUCAGCCUCUGCCACGUCUUCGAAUAUCCCUAUGUAAAAAUCACUUUUUGGUAUCUCGCGCAGCAAUUGAGAAAGAGGUGACUCAUCCAGCUGGAAAUACUCCUACUCAAACGGGCACUUGCCAUAAAAGAAACAUUCCCUGAAGUGACCAUCUGUCUUGACUUCAGCACAGCCAACAGCUUCCCCGUGUAAGGCUAGCAGAGUUUGAUCUACAUUUUAACUGCCACGACAGUUUAAUCUCUUAACAGGUCAUUUGUUGGGUAAAGGCAUUGUGCGGUGGAAGUGCAGAAUAGAUCUAAUACAACCUGUAUUCCUCCACCCUGAAGAGAAAAAAUCGUGUACUCUGUAGCACCCAACAGUAAAAACAACAUCUGCGACGUUCGAACCAGCUGUCCACGCGGUGCUUAGGUGAUCGUAGAAGGACAUGCACGUAGUAAGGUUACGUAGCAUCGAAUUCAUGACAACACUGAAGGACUGCUCAAGGCCUAUGAACUAUUUCAGACCUUCAAAUGAGUUGCAAGUUUAUUUCUCAUUUUCUCACCCCAGCUAAACAAAAACAAAGUUUCAGGACUACAGAGGGAGCCUGUCCGUGCUGGAAUUAAUGUCGUUAACGUCACUGAAAAUAACAGCGUUAAAGAUCAACAUCACUUAACCUGGUGUCACAGGCUCCUCAGCUGAAUUACUUCCAUGCCGAUAUAUUCUUAGAUUAUGCCUGAUCAGAAAUGGCGGAGAAAAAUUGAAGUUUAGCUGUCAGGGAUUUAAGAUGUAGGAGCAAAAAUACAAUGGGUGUAAAGGUUGUGGACAAUUUGGCGCAUCAUAAAUUGUGCUCUCACUCCUAUAAACGUAGCUUGGAGUAGGUGGAAUGUGCUUGUACUGGGUGACUUUGACAGGAGAUGUGCCCCGCACGCCGAUUUAUUACCUUUGGGUGUGGAUUUGUUGUCUAAGGAUGCAAGCAUGAGACCCAUUUGAACUUUGAGCAAGAACUCACUGGAGAAGAUGAUAACGUUACUCCUCUGUUACAGUCUGGAGCAUCACAUUUCCACCUCCGUGGCUGCAGCAAGAGUGAGGGUCUUUAAACACCAGACAGAGAGAGACGCGUUUCACUACCCUUGGCUAGUCGUGCUGAUGGAACAGAGAACACGUCAUUUAACAAAUGGCAGUGGUGGACUCCGUCUUUAUCGGCUGUCACUACGGAGAUACAAAGCCACUUAGCCCCAAGCACAAGUGUGACACAGGAGUGUACAUCUCUCAGUGGCCGGCGCUAACGCAGGAGGGAACCUCUUGCUGUCCCAGCUGCUCUUGCAGUCCCGUACCUGCGUGGCUGAACACCACUGACCACCUCUCCGAAAGGAAGAAUUUCCAGCUGGAAAUUGUCCAACAGGCCUGGCCAUCAGUGAAUAGGGCUUAGUAUAUAUUCCAGGGUUUAAUACAGAUAUAUUCCAGAGUGGUUUUAGGUUUUAGAGCUCCUCUGACUUGUAUGGAUCCUCUUGGGAAGAAGAAAGAAAAGGACCAUGGCUUAAUAGCUGCCUGCAUCUCUCUGUCCAAAUUUUAACACUUGCUUUGCUUAUAGCUGCCCUUUUUGCACGGAGUAAUCUAUGAAUGUUUAAUAUUGGAAUGUUUUAAUUGCCAGUAAGUGCUCCAUGGUAAGUUACUUCAUGCUGUACUGUGGUAAAGCUGAUGUGCUCAGUGGUUUCUCUGUGGCCUCUGCUACAAUCUGGUUCUCCUGGAGAUGCAAAGCUAGGUCAAAUCCAUGCAACUGCUUUUAAAAAUUAAUGUGCCUGUGCAUCAUCAUGUGUUCUUAAAUCUGUGGGCACUGCUAAAGACUGCAAAAAUAUAAUUCAAAAAUAAAUCUUUCCAUUAAUAUACUGAUUGCC